GUACUGUCAGGAUUCACCACUAGAGGCUUUAGAUUUAACAAGCCUUAUGAGAUUAGGAUUUUAGUUGUUACCAUUGUUUCUGAACUAAGUCUGUGUUGCGUUUUUCCUUCACAGUGGCUCAUCUGGGUUCAAGAGAGAAAGGUUCUCUGUAGCCCUGUCUGUACUGGAAUUUUCUCUAUAAACAAAGGUGGCCUUGAACUCAGAGAUCCACUUGCCUCUGUCUUCCAAGGGCUGGGAUUAAAGGUAUGUGCCAUCACCACCUUGCAAGCUG
rnacentral:lncRNA from 1 species